rnacentral:rRNA from 1 species
UACGUAGGGUGCAAGCGUUAAUCGGAAUUACUGGGCGUAAAGCGCGUGUAGGCGGCGGCGUAAGUCGAAUGUGAAAGCCCUCAGCUAACUGAGGAAGUGCAUCCGAUACUGCGUCGCUUGAGUGCCGGAGGGGAUGGCGGAAUUCCCGGUGUAGAGGUGAAAUUCGUAGAUAUCGGGAGGAACACCUGUGGCGAAGGCGGCCAUCUGGACGGUAACUGACGCUGAGACGCGAAAGCGUGGGUAGCAAACAGG